GUAGGUGGCAAGCGUUGUCCGGAAUUUAUUGGGGCGUAAAGCGCGCGCAGGCGGUUCUUUAAGUCUGAUGUGAAAGCCCAGGGCUCAACCGUGGAGGGUCAUUGGAAACUGGAGAACUUGAGUACAGAAGAGGAAAGCGGAAUUCCACGUGUAGCGGUGAAAUGCGUAGAGAUGUGGAGGAACACCAGUGGCGAAGGCGGCUUUCUGGUCUGUAACUGACGCUGAGGCGCGAAAGCGUGGGGAGCAAACAGGAUUAGAUACCCUGGUAGUCCACGCCGUAAACGAUGAGUGCUAAGUGUUAGGGGUUUCCGGCCCCUUAGUGCUGCAGCUAACGCAUUAAGCACUCCGCCUGGGGAGUACGGCCGCAAAGGCUG
rnacentral:rRNA from 1 species